AGCACCUGCUCUGAGUUUGACACCUGCCUGCCAGCAGCAACACUCCGUCAGCGCAGCAGCCAACAGGUCAGUAACAGUGUGCAGACCUGCGGCCCUGAACGCAGCACACUCUCAGAACAUCCGUCCACACACCCACGGCCAUAUGCAGCGGAGGGAUUUGUGAAUGGGCUCCUACCUUGGCACUGGAAUCCCUGCUUCCCGAAGCCCCUGUGGACGGAGAGACGGCGGUUCUUUCUCAGCGUUCUUCUUCAGUCCAGCAACAUCAACUGAUUGAACGUUCAGUCGAAGAGAACAACUUCUACAUAUCGGCACAAGACAAACCGUGAUGAGCUGCCUGGAGUCAUAAAAAAGGAGCGGCCACGUUAUGUGUGGGAGACCACGUGUGAACAACACGAACCGCUGCCUCUCGGAUACUCGAACCUGUGAUGUUCCAGCUUAAAAAGGUUCAUCACCUGCCCACAACUCCAGCCAAUCACAUCAGCAGUGAUGGCUGCAUUUAAUGAAGCGUCUAAUCUGGUAUCACACAGACGAUUAUGUAAGAAUUCAUGUGCAAAACAUCUGAGUUGGUGACACAGAAAACCCUCUGAUUAAUGCAUGAUGAAUAACAGGCGCCUCGCUGAUUACCUUCCAUCUAUGUGCAGCACUUAAAACACUCCUACCUCACCUGUCUCUGUGCGAAAGCAGCGUUAAAGGAACAACAUGCUAUGGUCAUUUCUCAACUAUUUUUGAGAUUCAAAUAGGAUUUAUACACACUCACACACACACACACACACACACACAACAAUAACAAUUUAACAAUAUUUCUUUUUUUUGUAAUUUUUUGGGCAAUAUUUUACUAGUAUUUUACUAAUAAUGUAAAAAUUUCCCAGAAAUUAUGUUUUGGCUCAUUUU